CUAGAUUAACCCUAUAGGACCCCUAUAAAACUGUAGAAGAUUUGUUUCACUUUUAUCCCUUCCACCCAAGUAUGUGAACGAGUAUUUUAGUGGCUGUACAUCUGCUUUCUGUUGCAGGCGUGCAAAGAAUGUCUUUCAAUCCAUAUGAUAAAACAAUUACUCAUCUUAAAAAUGAUGAUCCACAGCAUAUUCCUUCUGGCUUAUUUAAAAAAUGUCUAAAUGUCUAAUUUCCGGCCUAAAUUAUUCAUGGCCUUUAUACACUCAUUCGUUCUUGUUUAGUAUCAUUCAGUAGCUUAAUUCUGUGUUCUUUCCCUGUGAUUGAUGGAUAUACUUCAGUUUGUUUAUAGAGAGCAAUAAUGUUUGCUUUUAGACUUUAUGUUGCUAGGCUGAACAAUCCAGCCUUUGUCUCAUUACGUACUUGGAAAAUUAAGAGAAGGCUGAGGGAUGACCUCAUGGCAGCCUACAGCUUCCUCAAGAGGGGUCAGUGGGGUGGGAGGUGCUGAUCUCCUUUCUCUGGUAACCAGUGACAGGACACGAGGAAAUGGAAUGAAGCUGCAUCAGGGGUAGUUCAGACCUGAAAUGAGGAACAGGUUCUUCACUGACAGGGUGGUUGGUCACUGGAACAGGAUCCCCAGAGAAGUGGUCCUGGCACCAAGCCUGUCAGAAUUUAAGGGGCAUCUGAACAACGUUCUUAGCCAUAUGGUUUAGUUUUAGGUAGCCCUGCAAGGAGCACGGAGUUGGACUCGAGGACCCUUAUGGGUCCCUUCCAACUUGAGAUCUUUCUGUGACUCCAAUAGCCCCUUCUCCUACUGCUUACAGUUUGAACAAACCUUUCUUGUACAUGUUGACCGGUACUGUACUUGCUGUUGUACAUGGAGACAGUGACACUAAUAAAAGCAGAUCUGUAAUAGAGGAAAGUUGAAAUUACUAAGUACACCUUAAAAUCACUUUUUUAUUAUUGUUGUUUGUUAUUUUGAGCACAUCACAGUAGCUGUGAUCAUGUAAUUGCCUAAUAGAUCUGUUCUUUCCAGCUGAUAAACUGGUAGCUAAGAGCAGACAGUCCUGAAGUGCUCAACAUAAAAACAGGAAUAAAAACAGAAACAAACAAAAAGAUACUUACGUUGAUUUGAUUGUCAAAAUUACCCAUUUCUUUCUUAAGGCACUGUGAUCUUCCUGUGAAUGAGUAGUACCUCUUCAGCCUUGCUUCAGCAGAUUCUAUAGGUUCUCUCCAAUAUUUUGUGUUAAUUUCCUUUAUGCAAAUGCUAAGGCUACGUUUUUGAAAUACUCCUAGUUAAUGAAACUGUCGCUCCACUCAAUUCAAUGCUAGUCACAUUUGUCUUUGUUUAAUCACUCGUAUAGAUUUUUUUUUUUAACAUCUUCUAAUCCAGUUUCUUCAUGUUUAGUAAUUUUCCAUGCUGUAGGAUGGGUGAAAAUAUACCAAAUUCUGCCACCCCGACAGGUCUGCUGCGUUUUCUUUUGUCUGAUGGAAGGAUUUUCUAUUUCAUCAAAGAAAGAUGGUGUAAUCUGCCAAGAUAGUGUAGCUCAUGUGGAGGGAGCAAGCAGUGCAUACAGACCUGAAUUGGGAGCUAAAUUCUAGGUGUGCUUGAUGGAUCUACAUAUGUGGCACUAUGGGAUUGAAUGGUUCUGAAGGAUGAUUGAUGCUGGUUUCU